GAUGAACGCUAGCUAUAGGCUUAACACAUGCAAGUCGAGGGGCAGCAUGGAGUUUGCUUGCAAACUCUGAUGGCGACCGGCGCACGGGUGAGUAACGCGUAUCCAACCUUCCCUUAGUAGGGCAUAGCCCGGCGAAAGUCGGAUUAAUACCCUAUGUUGUUCGAAGAGGACAUCUGAUUUGAACCAAAGACUUGUCGCUAAGGGAUGGGGAUGCGUCUGAUUAGGUUGUUGGCGGGGUAACGGCCCACCAAGCCAUCGAUCAGUAGGGGUUCUGAGAGGAAGGUCCCCCACAUUGGUACUGAGACACGGACCAAACUCC
rnacentral:rRNA from 1 species